rnacentral:rRNA from 1 species
AGCUCCAAUAGCGUAUAUUAAAGUUGUUGCAGUUAAAAAGCUCGUAGUUAAAUUUCUGUACUUAGCUCGGGGCGCCAACGGUGUCCUCGUAGCAAUAGUACUAGUCUGGUAUUGGUUUCAAUAGCAGAUAUGUUACUUUGAGAAAAUUAGAGUGUUUCAAGCAGGCUUAUGCCUUGAAUACUUCAGCAUGGAAUAACAAUCGAGGACUUAGUCUCUUCUUGUUGGUUAAGAGAUCAAGUGAUGGUUGAUAGGAACAAUUGGGGGCAUUUGUACUUGGCAGCUAGAGGUGAAAUUCUUAGAUUUGCCAAAGACAAACUACUGCGAAAGCAUCUGCCAGAGGUGUUUUCA